rnacentral:rRNA from 1 species
GACGAACGCUGGCGGCGUGCUUAACACAUGCAAGUCGAACGGAAAGGCCCUGCUUUUGUGGGGUGCUCGAGUGGCGAACGGGUGAGUAACACGUGAGUAACCUGCCCUUGACUUUGGGAUAACUUCAGGAAACUGGGGCUACUACCGGAUAGGAGCUCCUGCUGCAGGGGGGGGGUUGGAAAGUUUGGGCGGUUGGGGAUGGACUCGCGGCUUAUCAGCUUGUUGGUGGGGUAGGGGCUUACCAAGGCUUUGACGGGUCGCCGGCCUGAGUGGGUGAACGGCCACCAGAGUACUAAGGUAGGGACCAGUGUCCAAUAGUAGGCAGCGGUGGCGAGUAUUGUCCAGUGAGACCAAGUCUGUGACAGCAACCCCGCGUUCGGGAUGACCUCCUUUUGGUAGUAAACCGCUUUAGCCUGAGACGAAGCGUGUGUGACGGUAAUGGGUAAAUAAGCACCGGCUAACUACGUG